rnacentral:rRNA from 1 species
CAAUAGCGUAUAUUAAUUCUGCUGCAGUUGAAAAGCUCGUAGUUGGAUCUUGAAGUGUCAUUGUGAGGGGUUUCGGUCCGCCAGAAAUUGGUGGGUACCGUCCCUCCGGCUUCAUAUGUGAUAGUAGCGCAUCAUGUGCCCGGAAGGGAUUUCAUGAUUGAGGAUGUUAUGAAGCUCUCCGUGUAUAGGAGGGUGGAGGCUCUUCUUAAGGAUGAGUAGGGUGGCUUUCGGGUCCCCCUUCACAACUUAGUGCUCUAUCUUGUUUACUUUGAAAAAAUUAGAGUGUUUAAAGCAGGCCGUUUCGGCCACUGUAUACAUUAGCAUGGGAUAAUAGAAUAGGACAUGAGUCCAUUUUGUUGGUUUUUAUGGGUCUCGCGUAAUGAUUAACAGGGACAGUUGGGGUGACUUGUAUUUGGGGGCGAGAGGUGAAAUUCUAUGAUCCCCCAAAGACAAACUACUGCGAAAGCAUUUCACAAACAUGUUUUCAUUAA